GUUUACGGCCAUACCAGCCUGGGUACGCCCGAUCUCGUCUGAUCUCGGAAGCUAAGCAGGGUCGGGCCUGGUUAGUACUUUGAUGGGAGACCGCCUGGGAAUACCAGGUGCUGUAAGCU
rnacentral:rRNA from 1 species